UACAGAGGCGGCAAGCGUUGUUCGGAAUUAUUGGGCGUAAAGAGCACGUAGGCGGCCUUGUAAGUCAGUUGUGAAAGCCUUCUGCUUAACGGAAGAACAGCAGCUGAUACUGCAAGGCUAGAGUGCGGAAGGGGAGAGUGGAACUUCUGGUGGAGCGGUGAAAUGCGUAGAUAUCAGAAGGAACACCGGCGGCGAAGGCGACUCUCUGGUCCGUAACUGACGCUGAGUGUGCGAAAGCUAGGGGAGCAAACGGG
rnacentral:rRNA from 1 species